UUGUGAUCAUGGGCUAGAGGCCGUAGCCUCCUCUUCCUCCUCUUCCUCAUCCUCAUGGACACACGAGGCCAUCGUACUCAAGGAGGUAGAGGCCGGAGCCUCCUCUUCCUCCUCCAGCCUCCUCUUCCUCCUCUUCCUCAUCCUCGUGGACACACGAGGGCCGUCGUGACCGUGGGGCAGAGGCCGGAGCCUCCCCGGCGGACCAAAAAUGGGGCAAAACCCCCCAAAAA